rnacentral:rRNA from 1 species
UACGUAGGGAGCAAGCGUUGUCCGGAUUCACUGGGUGUAAAGGGUGCGCAGGCGGAUUUGUAAGUCAGAUGUGAAAUCUCACGGCUUAACCGUGAAACUGCUUUUGAUACUGCAGAUCUUGAGUUUGGGAGAGGUUGAUGGAAUUCCAGGUGUAGCGGUGAAAUGCGUAGAUAUCUGGAGGAACACCGAUGGCGAAGGCAGCCUUCUGGGCCAACACUGACACUCAUGCACGAAAGCGUGGGGAGCAAACAGG